GACGAACGCUGGCGGCGUGCUUAACACAUGCAAGUCGAACGAAGUGGCGAACGGGUGAGUAACGCGUAAUCAACCUGCUCUUCAGAGGGGGACAACAGUUGGAAACGACUGCUAAUAUCGUAUACUGAAGGAGGGGACUGCGUCUGAUUAGCUAGUUGGGGGGGUAACGGCCCACCAAGGCGAUGAUCAGUAGCCGGUCUGAGAGGAUGAGCGGCCACAUUGGGACUGAGACACGGCCCAGACUCCUACGGGAGGCAGCAGUAGGGAAUCUUCCGCAAUGGACGAAAGUCUGACUGAGCAACGCCGCGUGAGUGAUGACGGCCUUCGGUUUGUAAAGCUCUGUUGUUCGGGACGCGUUACCGGAAUGAAAGCCACGGCUAACUACGUGCCAGCAGCCGCGGUAAUUC
rnacentral:rRNA from 1 species